rnacentral:lncRNA from 1 species
UAUACAUCUCUAUAUUUAUUUUUCUUUUGAGACAGGGUUUUACUAUGUAGCCUGGGCUGGCCUUGAAUUAUGUAGUCUAGGCUGGCCUGGAAACUCACAGCAAUCAUUCUGCCUCAGCUUCACGAGUGCUGGGCUGACAGGUGUGCACCACUACAAGAGCUUUCUGUACAUGGUGCACGCGGUUCACUACUUUUCCUGGACCCAUCCCUUCUUCAGACCCUCAAAGAGGCUGCAGGUCCAGGCUGAGCAGGGAGUCACACAAGAAGCCACUUGAAUUAAAACCACUGGGCCAUGGCCAGGAAGGGGACACUCUGUUUUAGUCUUGCUGCUAACUGUAGUUUUGUAAGAGGAAUUGGAGCUUCUGUUUUGUAGGUGAGAGGCUGUUCUGACAUCUGUAGAAGCCCCAGCUCCAGCCAGGACACAGAGUGGUCCUUGUGGGGAUACAGGGGCAGGGAGCCCAGGACACCUCACCGAGAAGACAGGACAUGGAGGGCCCAGGAGGCCAGCUGACCCUGGCUGCUCCUUUAAUAACGCCAGGUACUCUGGGCCCCUGUCCCCAGGGCUACCCCGGGAUCUGGGGUAUUUUUAGCCAUGGCAAGUGGAACAAGGCCAGGGGAGGCACAGCUUGCUGGCUGUGGGAACUUGCUGGGGAGCUUUCUGAGAAGGUGGCCCUCAAACUGCAGUGGCUCUGGGGUUCAGCUCCCCGCUUCCUGCAGGGUUCUCUUCCCUGAGGCCUGGACAGGGAGGACUGUCCCCAUCAGCUGCCCAGGGACUGGGGACCUGUGCCAGGGUGGGUGGGAGACAAGACAGUGAGCUGGCCUUGUGCAUGGCGCCAGGACCCCCCUGGGGAAGAAGUGACUGUCCCAGGAAGCUCUGGGAGAACCAGGGGGCCACUGACUCCAGCCAGGAAAUACCCAUAAUCCCCAAAGAUCAAGGGAAGGCAGGAGGGGAGAGUAGUACCAACCAUUUCCUGAUGGCCCCUGGGGACACUGAAGUCAACCCUGAGAGUCCAUCUGCAAAACACCUGCAGGGGCCACCAAUCCAGGGACACUCCACCUGCCUCCCCCAGCAGUGGUCUUCGGGCCCCCUGCCCUGGAUGUGGCUGCAGGAGUGGGCAGUGGGCCAGGCGGGCACUGGGGCAGAGCCAGCCAACUCUGGACAAUUUGUUGAAGUGGCUACAGCAGUGAAGCGGUCACAGCACAGCCACCCAAGGGGCAGAAAGGUCAAGUUGCCUGAGCCUUCCUGCCAUUGCUGCAGUGCCACACUGAACAGGCUGAGCCUGGAAGCUGAGCAGGACCAGUCCCGGGGACGGGAGGCUGCUGGGAAAAGAGGCUGCUGCAGGUUUCCAGGAACAGGAGUGACAGCUGGCUCAUUUGAGGGCUGGGCUGUCCGAUGGAGCAGUCCCUCUGGCUGUGGCAGUCCACAGUCUCCUUCAAGGCCCAGAUUGGAAGAGGUGGGGUGUGUUUGGUCAGCCACUGUCAGCCAGCUCUCCGGAGGUGGAAGCACUGCUCUGAGGGGCUCCCUGUUCCUGCAGUGUAAGGAUCUCUUCGUGCCUUUCAAGCAUGAGAGUUUACAUUGUGCUCACGGAAUCCUUGAGCAUCUGCGGCUGUGCUCCUGGGGGACCUGUCGGAUUGAGCUCUGACCACUGAGUCUGCCUGCGGUUCACACUCAGACUGCAGACCCACCGAGGUGGGGAGAGAAAUGGCUGUGUCUGAAAAAAAAAAAAAAAAGUGAUUUUCCACUUUUAACUCAAGAGUAAAACCAACAGCCUGUGAAGAUGUGAAAACCAAACCCACUCCACCUGGCCCUCUGGGUUUGAACCAUUGAAACUCUGAAACUUGAGGGCAGCCACAGUAGGAGAGGUAACAGGCUGAGAAACAGGCUCUAGCUGCACACUGGCAGGCAUGGCUUCCACCUUGGGCAAACUGCCGGCUCCUCAGGGACUAUGCAUGACGUGGCAGGACUGGAGCUCUACAGAUUCUUCGUGAUGUGACAUUUUCAUUAGGAAAGGCAGACAGACAUCUGCCCUGGGCUUUCCUCUUGCGGUGUGCUAACUCAGCUUGUGAUGACAAGACACUGGUGCCACUUGGAUGAUACUCAGGGUUGUUCAGACACCAGGAGCAGGCACAAUCCACACUGGUUGUUCCAUCUUAGGAAAUAGCUCAUCAACAAGCUGUGUGACCCAGGGUAGGUCACUCUACCUCUCUGAACUGCCAUUUCUUCCCCUGCAAUACAAUGCCAUGUGAAAUUCUUAUAAUCCUGAAUCCUGGGAAUUAUUAAAUGAAAGCAGGUACAGUGGUGAUGUAUGAUUUUGUACACAGCAGAUGUACUGAAGUAUUGUUUGUUUUUCUCUUUUUGAGACUGGGUCUUGCUAUGCAGUUCAGGCUGGUCUCAAGCUCACUUUGUAGCCCAGGCCAGUCUUGAAUUUGCAAUUAUCCUUCUGCUUCAGCCUCCCGAGUGCUGAGUUUACAGGCAAGCACCACCAUACCCAACUCCGGAACCCCACCUGGAAAUGAUGGGGGCCUGAAGGUCUAAUUUAGCUCGAAGCAGGUUCCCCGAAAACCAGACUUUCUGGAGGUUCUCAGUUCUCAGUUUCAGGGCUUUGACUUGGUUCCAUUAUGGGUAGACACCUGGGGUACCCUGUUUUGGGCCAUAACUUUUUUGGGUUUUCUGGGAACCCCUGGGCACUGGCUUGUAUUGGGGGGGGGGGCUGGGCGGAGCUGAGCAAGGAGCAAGAGAGGCCUGAGGCAAAAGCCUGGUGGCAGGAGCAGGGACGCGGGCCACACGGGCGGGGUGGCUGUCGCCUCCCUACGGGGCAGGACCUCCACUCUGGCUCACCAGGAGCCUGAGUUCCACUCGGGCGGCAGGGCCCCGAGAACGCAAGGUCAAGAGUGAGGACCCAGGGCGCAGGUCCUCAUCGCCCGGUCCCCUCCAGCUGGGAACAGGGCGGCAGAACCUCCCUCACCACUCCCCCUCUACUGCUGUGCAGAUCAAGCCGAAGCCUUCGGGUAGAACCGGGAGUCCGAGCCGCGCAGCACCCACGGAAGCGAGCCUGGCAUUUCCCG